GACGAACGCUGGCGGCGCGCCUAACACAUGCAAGUCGAACGGAGCUGAGAGAAGCUUGCUUUUCUUAGCUUAGUGGCGAACGGGUGAGUAACGCGUGAGUAACCUGCCCUGGAGUGGGGGACAACAGUUGGAAACGACUGCUAAUACCGCAUAAGCCCACGAUCCGGCAUCGGAUUGAGGGAAAAGGAUUUAUUCGCUUCAGGAUGGACUCGCGUCCAAUUAGCUGGUUGGUGAGGUAACGGCCCACCAAGGCGACGAUUGGUAGCCGGACUGAGAGGCUGAACGGCCACAAUGGGACUGAGACACGGCCCAGACUCCUACGGGAGGCAGCAGUAGGGGAUAUUGCGCAAUGGGGGAAACCCUGAUGCAGCGACGCCGCGUAGAGGAAGAAGGUUUUCGGAUUGUAAACUCCUGUCGUAAGGGACGAUAAUGACGGUAACUAGCAAGAAAGCACCGGCUAACUACGUG
rnacentral:rRNA from 1 species